AAACUUUACACUGCGCGAAAGCGCGAUAAGGGGACCCUGAGUGUGUGCGCAAUGCGUAUGCUUUUCAGAUGCCUAAAAAGCAUCUGGAAUAAGAGCCGGGCAAGACCGGUGCCAGCCGCCGCGGUAACACCGGCGGCUCGAGUGGUGGCCGCUAUUAUUGGGCUUAAAGGGUCCGUAGCCGGACCGAAUAGUCCAUUGGGAAAUCUUACAGCUCAACUGUCAGGCUGCCAAUGGAUACUGUUGGUCUUGGGACCGGGAGAGGCAAGAGGUACCUCGAGGGUAGGAGUGAAAUCCUGUAAUCCUUGAGGGACCGCCAGUGGCGAAAGCGUCUUGCUAGAACGGGUCCGACGGUGAGGGACGAAAGCUAGGGGCACGAACCGG
rnacentral:rRNA from 1 species